GCUCCCUUAGCUCAGCCGGAUAGAGCAACGGAUUUCUAAUCCGUAGGUCGCAGGUUCGAAUCCUGCAGGGAGCG
rnacentral:tRNA from 1 species